CUUCCGUAAGGGUGAACCUGCGGAAGGAUCAUUAAUGAAAUCAAAGGUUCAGGUUGUAGCUGGCUUUCUUUGGAAGCAUGUGCACACCUGUGACCGUUAUCCAUCUCAUCCCUGUGCACCUUUGCGUGGGUCAAGAGGGGCUUUUUGGCUCCUCGAGGCUUGCGUUUUCUUAUACACCCAUUGUAUGUUUCAGAAUGUUUACUUGCGUUAAUCGCAUCUAAUACAACUUUCAACAACGGAUCUCUUGGCUCUCGCAUCGAUGAAGAACGCAGCGAAAUGCGAUAAGUAAUGUGAAUUGCAGAAUUCAGUGAAUCAUCGAAUCUUUGAACGCACCUUGCGCCCUUUGGUAUUCCGAAGGGCACACCUGUUUGAGUGUCGUGAAAUUCUCAACUCUUUCUUUCUUUUUGGAAAGACUGAGCUUGGAUGUGGAGGCUUGCUGGGUCCCUUGACUGGGGUCAGCUCCUCUUGAAUGCAUUAGUGAGCCUCUCUGUGGCCUCGGUGUGAUAAUUGUCUACGCCGUGGGUUCUGCAGUAUUAUAGGACUUGCUUCUAACCGUCUCUUUUGAGACAACUUCAUUGAAACUUGACCUCAAAUCAGGUGGAUGCCAGU
rnacentral:rRNA from 1 species